CAGGCCCGCAAGGGUGCUGACGAGUGGCGGACGGGUGAGGAAUACAUCGGAAUUUGCCCAGUCGUGGGGGAUAACGUAGGGAAACUUACGCUAAUACCGCAUACGACCUAACGGUGAAAGCGGGGGAUCAGCAAUGACCUCGCGCGGAUGGAUAAGCCGAUGUCGGAUUAGCUAGUUGGCGGGGUAAAGGCCCACCAAGGCGACGAUCCGUAGCUGGUCUGAGAGGAUGAUCAGCCACACUGGGACUGAGACACGGCCCAGACUCCUACGGGAGGCAGCAGUGGGGAAUAUUGGACAAUGGGGGCAACCCUGAUCCAGCAAUGCCGCGUGUGUGAAGAAGGCCUUCGGG
rnacentral:rRNA from 1 species